rnacentral:rRNA from 1 species
AUGGACCUCGACGACGACAUGAUACCCUACUACGCCUCCGGCGACUCCUCGCCGUCCUCCUCCGACCUCGACACCGAGUCGACGGGGUCCUUCUUCCCGGACCGGAGCACGACGCUGGGGACGCUGAUGGGCGUGUCGACGUUCGGCGGCGCCGGUGUGCAGCGGCGGCUGACUCGGGCGGCGCCGGGGCAGGAGAGCGAGAGGCCGACGCGGGCGGCAACGGAGGAGCGAGACGGGCGGCGCGCGGGCGGGUGGCGACGGAGGAGGCGGCGGCGGGGCGGGAGCUGGUGGCGGCUGUGCCGCGACGACGCCAGCGGGCCGCCGACGAGGCUGGGCGAGUUCCUGGACAUGGAGCGGCAGCACGCCGGCGCCGACUUCCUGUGCGCCGGCCCGCAGGAGCCGGACCCGCCUUCGGUGGCCGCGACGCCGCUGUUCGAGGACGGGAGGGUGCGCCCGCCGCAGCAGCGCGCCGCCCCGCCGGAGGAGCGCGGGAGGUGGCGGCUGCAGCGGGCCGCGGAAGGGUCGUCCACGUCCUCGUCGCUGGCCAGGCUCCCGGUGCUGCUCACCGGCAUCUGCAGCGGCGGCGCUGGGUAG